rnacentral:ncRNA from 1 species
UUAUUAUUUGGUUUUAAUAUAUAAAAUGUUUACUAUUUAGGUAAUAAUAUAAAAGUUUUAUUUUGAUUUGAAUUAUUGGUAUAUUUAUUAUUUAUAUGUAAAUUUAUGUGGGAAUAAUAUAAAAUUUUAAAAAUUAUAAAAUUAUACGCAGUAUAUAAAUUUAAAAAUUUACGAAAGUAAGAUUUAGGGAUAAAUAAUAGUUUUGACAAAUCUUGUGCCAGCAGUAGCGGUUAUACAGGGAAGGCAAUCAAUAACUUUUGGUUUGUAGUUAAAUAUUUUUAUUAUUUAUUUGUAUAAAUAUAUUUAUUAAGUGAAAUUUUUAUUUUAUAUUUUAUAAUAAACAAUUAAAUUGAUUCUAUGAAAUUUCAAUAAUAAACUAGGAUUAGAUACCCUAUUAUUUGAAAUGUUAAAUAAUAAAAACUUAGUUAGUAUUAGUUAUGUUCUUUAAAGCUAAAAAAUUUGGCGGUAUUUUAGUCUUUUCAGAGGAACCUGUCCUAUAAUCGAUGGUCCACGAGGGAUUGUACUUGUUUUAAUUAGUUUGUAUAUCGUCGUAGUUGAAUGUUCUAGAAGAAUUUAAAUGUUCAUUAUUAAUAAUUAUUAAUUAAAUCAGAUCAAGGUGCAGCAAAUAAAUAAGGAUGAGAUGGGUUACAAUAAAUAAUAUUUAUUUACGGAAUUAUAAUUGAAAUUUAUAAUGAAGGUGGAUUUGAAAGUAAUGAUAAUUAGUUUACUAUUAUGAUUUUAGCUCUAAAAUAUGCACAUAUUGCCCGUCGCUUUCGAAUAAAUUGAAAUAAGUCGUAACAAAGUAGAGGUACUGGAAAGUGUUUCUGGAACACA